CAGACUGAAAUCUGAUUAUCUAAGAAUGAUUUUGUGCUAAAAUUGUAAUGAACAGGUUUUGUUUAGCCCACAGACAUAUCCUAACCUGUUUAAGAGACACCAACAUGUUUGUUGUAGUUUUUUUCAGCCUUUCUAGGAGUAAAUGAUUUCCGUCUCUCUUUCAGCCUCGAAGCCGGACAACGCCGGAGGAAUCGCUGCCUCUGUGAUCGUGGUGGUGCUGCUGAUCGGCACCCUGGUCGCUCUGCUCGUCUUCUACCUGCGAACCGAACCAGACGCCAACUCUUCAUCGCUCGCUAUCGGCAUUAGUAACGAAGGAUAUGUUCCAGAGGAUCCUGUGACUGUUCCUCCAAGACAAAACCAUCCAAUGGCUGCAGGAUUCAACAACGUCUCUAUUUCUGCCGAGGACAGGAAGAGGGAGGAGGAGGAGUGACACAGGGAGCUUUGCUGCCGCCUAAUGGUGGCUUUGGGAAAUGCAGGUGAUAUAACAGCAGGAGAAUCAAUGCUGUUCCUCUAUUACUGAUCAUUUCAUGCAUCCAGCUGUUAAAUACAGAAAAUGCCGACUACACUGUAAGAUGUAAUAGUAUAUCUUACUCUAAAAGAAAAGUGACCUUAACUCAUUCCAGCUUACUCUGUUGACUAUACUAACUUAAACUUAGCAAAGACAACUUUCUACUGAGGCAAGUAAUCAAACUCAUCAGCAGCAAGUAACCCGAACUUGGAGUUAUCAGUGAGCAAGACGCAUCUGCAUAACCAGCAGAAAACUCGGCAUCAUUCGGCAGCUCUCGUUGAACGCACAUGCGCAGCUGGCCACUGACGAGUGACGACGUGUCUGAAAGAAGCGCCAAACUGUCAACAAUAUGGCGGUUGCUGCAGCUAAGUUUUGUCGCGGUAAGUUCCACUGGUUUUUAGCAAACUUAUAUUCGUUAUCUCGGCCGUAUAAUUUAUCCUUAAGUCCAGGUUUUGAGGUUCACUUUAUGUGUAAUGAUUUAGCGAUGCCUGGGACUAACGUUAGUCGAAAAUAUCAUGUUUAUUUAGUGGCAACAAGAUGGAGCGGCAGAGAAAAAAGCUGUCCGGGGCGCAAAACGAAAAAAGGAAAAGGGAUAAAGAUGUUGGCGGGAUAAAAAAAACCUUUCAGUGUGGUUGAAAGUUAGUAGGCAAGCUAACCCACGUUAGCUAACCCACGUUAGCUUGCCUACUAACUUUCAACCACACUGAAAGGCUUUUUUCUUUCUUUGUUGUCAAGUUCACUACAAGUGGUAGUCUUAAUAUUUUUUUUAAAAAAAAAGGAGUGAGUCUUUUAUGGGCGCGUGCCCAACCCAGAUAGCAAAAUAUGAGCGAAUCAACGUUGAAAUAUGGUUAGGCAGAAAUAUUGAAUCAAUGUUGAAGCCUGACAUUAACAUUAUACAAAAAGUGGUCAGUGACUUAGACGUUGAAUCAACGUUAGGUUUUCAAUGCAUGGCCUUGAGAAGACAAGAGUUGGUUAACUUAGAGCGUCCAGUGACGGACAUAAUGGAAAGGUGGCCAGCUUUACAGAUGGUCAGGUAAUUUAAAACUCUUCCUAUCUUUUAUGCAUCAAGUUUUUUAGUUCUCAUAUAAUUCAUUGUUUGUUACGUCUCUUGCUAACUUACAGAAUUAGUUUCAGUGUCCUGCUAGUGAAAAGUAGUCCUGAGAGGUCCAACAUCUCUACAUGUUAAAUAUUAAUUUGUCAUACUUUUCUUUCAGAUUCUGGCAGAGUUCUGUCGCUUGUCGAGCAAAAACCUGGGUUCAGAAUUUUUCUAAGAACUAGACAAAUACUUCUUUGAGAUUUUCAAGAGCAAGGGGGGAAGUGUUGGCCAGAAACUUCAGACGUAUCUGCAACAAGUCAGACCCGAGGAGUGAUGUGUGUUUGAUAUGAUUUUUCAGAGUACAGAUAUUACUGCGAAGCGAACGGCAGUGCUCCGUGGCCUUCCUGUGAUCCUUGGAGAUGAGAACACAGACUUCUUCAAGACAUGCUUUGUAAGUCAUCUUUAUCAUCUUUAUUUUUAUAUUCCAGUCUUAUAAUUCUAGAUCUAGAAGU